UGCUGGGUGGUGUAGUGGUUUGAGUGUUGGACUAUGACUCUAGAGACAAAGGUUUGAUUCCUGGCUUGGCCA